rnacentral:rRNA from 1 species
AUACGUAGGGUGCAAGCGUUAAUCGGAAUUACUGGGCGUAAAGCGUGCACAGGCGGUUUUGUAAGACAGAGGUGAAAUCCCCGGGCCCAAACUGGGAACUGCCUUUGUGACUGCAAAGCUAGAGUCCGGCAGAGGGGGAUGGAAUUCCGCGUGUAGCAGUGAAAUGCGUGGAUAUGCGGAGGAAAACCGCGGGCGAAGGCAAUCACCGGGGCCAGUACUGACGCGCAUGCACGAAAGCGUGGGGAGCAAACAGGAUUAGAUACCCUGUUAGUCCACGCCCUAAACGAGGUCAACUGGUGGUUGGGUCUUCAUUGACUCAGUAACGAAGCUAACGCGUGAAGUUGACCGCCUGGGGAGUACGGCCGCAAGGUUGAAACUCAAAGAAAUUGACGGGG